UAAAAUUCAAGUUUAUUUAUCUAGAAUUUAAAAUAAUUAUCUUCACAUAAUAUUAUAAUACAUCAUAAAAUAAUAUAAUGUGAAGAAGCCUCUCUUUUUAGAGAGGAAAAUAAGCCUAAAGAAAAUUUCAACCACAGCUCUUAGCUCAAGUAUAUCACCUACAAAAAUCUACAUUGAUGGUUGUUAAUAAAUCAAGCACACCCACCUAUAAAAGUAUUGGCAUACAUGGAUACAUACAUACAGAUACA
rnacentral:lncRNA from 1 species